AUGGGGAUCCCAUCCUUACUACUGGGGAGAGGAUCUUCUACACCAGUUCACAGCAAGGUCAAGCAUUUAUAUCUUAAUCUCUAUAGAUACACUUGUUUGACCUGCAGAAAAAAAGCCAUGUUCAUAACAACACACGUGCUCCAGAAAGAGCCAGUUGAAGUGGUCACCUCAAAUCUGCAAAGGUCAAGGCUGUGCAGUGUGCUGAGCUCUGUAAAUGGCAACUUGAUGGCAGUGACAACUGGUGAGCACCCUCCUGGACCUCGAUGUGCCCUGCAGCAUGACUGGUUGUGACAAAGGUCCUGGACUGUGCCCAGUGGCUUGUGUCACAGCAGCACAGCUCCAUGGCCACAUCUCACCAAAGGCUUGGAGAGCAAUUCCCUAAAUCCUGGGAGCACUUGCUGACUCUUACAACUGCUGAGAUCAGUGAUGGCUGAGCUGCUUCCCUCCCACCUACAUUUCCUCCUUUCCCUGCUACAAGCUCUGAAUCAAAAAAAGUGUCAUCAUUAGAGGUGUUCCUG
rnacentral:lncRNA from 1 species